UUGGAUGCUACCCUGCCUUCCGUAGGCGCCGCACUCGACGGCCUAGCCAAUCGCAGGCCACGCCGUGUCGCAGCAGCCAAUCGGAGAGGCCCGGAGCCUUCGAGACCCUCCGCGGGCCGCGCCUUGGCCUCGCACCGCUCGGAUUCUUUUGUUAGAGCGCCCAGGUGUUCUCGCGGCUGGGCCUACUCGCGUGCGAUCCGGCGCCAUCGCGCCUUGGCCAGCCUAGUAAUGGGUAGUAGAGAGGCGGGAAGCGAGCUGACGCCGAAGUGGCGUUGGCGAUGGUGGCGCUUGCUGUGGAGGACCGGUGGGAGAAUGGCGCCAGGAGACGGCUCACGGAUGCGGGGAUGACGCAGGAGGUUUUGGUGUGACCUGGCGCUAUGUAUGUGAUACCACACAGGAGCUUGACCGAGGAUGCCCCGGAAUCCUAAUUUAGGAACCUUUUUUCUGAAGACGUUUUGCCCUGAUGAGGAAGAGGAGGGAUUGUCUUGAAGAGAUGUGGCUUUGGAAGACGAUAUGAAAUACACAGGAAAGGAGAGAAAAGGAUUUUUGCUUGAGUACUAUUUGCAAACUUACUGAAUAAUUUGAAGAUUUAUAUAAGGGCCUGUUGAGAAAGUGGCGUGUCCCUUCCUUCUCUAAGGAAAGUGCUCGGCACACAGCCUGAUGACCACAAGCUGCGAGAGAACUGACUCCUGACGUUGUCUUCUGACCACACAGACACAAUAAGAAAAUAAAUGUGAUUUUUAAAAACUGAAAUAGUAAGAAAACAUUAGAAUGCUGCUGUUUUAUUGAAAUGUAAGCAUGGUACAUGUAAUUAUGGAACAAAUUGGAUGCCUUGUGAUAGUUUUGUACAAAACUUUACCCUCUUCUGACUGAGAAAGGGAUCAAAAUUGUCAAAAGAAUUGAACUCUUUGUAAAUCUUUUUCUUUUGUAAAGAUUUAUUUGUAAUGGUAUGCUACGAGUUUGCGGUACCCUCAGAGUGCCGUUGGAGUUACAGACAGUUGUGAGCUGCCUGGGUGGGUGCUGUAAGCUGAACUUGGGCCUCUGGAAGAGCAAAAUGGUCUCUUAAGUUCUGAGUCAUCUUCCAGCGCAACUUUUUGUGAAUGAAUUUGAAUUUGUUUGCAUCGUGGAUAAAAAGCAAGAAUAAAGGGUGCUAUGUUGGAAUGUUGUGACUGCUGCCAAUCAAAAUGAACUGUAACUUCCUGUCAGAGUUGCUUCCUGAUAGAGGGCUAGCCCAGAGUCAAACAUAAACUAGUCAGAAGUAUCCUCAUUUACAGUUCAGAAACCAUGCCAAAUGAGGGUGGCUGCCCAAUAAAAACAGCCAGUUGGUCCUCACAGACCCAAUUCUACCACCAUCUUAUUGCGGUUCAUUUGUAGUACACUUAAACAUUUUCUACUAGUCUGA